rnacentral:rRNA from 1 species
GACGAACGCUGGCGGCGUGCUUAACACAUGCAAGUCGAACGCGAAAGCCGGGUGUUUUCGCGGUGGGGUUGGGUGGCCCACGGGAGAGGCACAUGGGUUUGACCUGCCUUCCACUCUGGGAUGAUCAUGGGAAAUUGGGUCUUAUACUGGAUGAGUUAUGGCACCUGGUUGGGGUGUGUGUAGAUUGUUUUGUUGGUUGUGGAUGGGCUCACGGCCUAUCAGCUUGUUGGGUGGGUAAUGGAUAACCAAAGCCACGAUGGGUAGCCGGCCUGGGCGGGUGACCGGCCACACUGGGACUGAGAUGCGGCACAGACUCCUACGGGAGGCAGCAGUGGGGAAUAUUGCACAAUGGGCUGAAGCAUGAUGCAGCCACGCAGCGUGGGGGAUGACGGGAUUCGGGUUGUAAACCACUGUCCGCUCGGACGAAGCGAGAGUGACAGUACGUGGAGAAGAAGCUCCGGCUAACUACGUG